rnacentral:tRNA from 1 species
UGGUGUAGCUCAAUUGGCAGAGCAGCUGAUUUGUAAUCAGCAGGUUGUAGGUUCAAGUCCUAUUACCA